GACGAACGCUGGCGGCGUGCUUAACACAUGCAAGUCGAACGGUGAAGCGCCUUCCUUUUUGGUGGGUGUGGAUGAGUGGCGAACGGGUGAGUAACACGUGAGUAACCUGCCCCCUUCUUCUGGAUAACCGCAUGAAAGUGUGGCUAAUACGGGAAAUUCUGGGUCUGUCGCAUGAUGGGUCUGGGAAAGAUAUUGUUUCGGUGGGGGAUGGGCUCGCGGCCUAUCAGCUUGUUGGUGGGGUGAUGGCCUACCAAGGCGGUGACGGGUAGCCGGCCUGGGAGGGUGGACGGUCACACUGGGACUGAGACACGGCCCAGACUCCUACGGGAGGCAGCAGUGGGGAAUAUUGCACAAUGGGCGCAAGCCUGAUGCAGCGACGCCGCGUGAGGGAUGGAGGCCUUCGGGUUGUGAACCUCUUUCGCCAGUGAAGCAGGCCUGCCUCGUUUGUGGGUGGGUUGACGGUAGCUGGAUAAGAAGCGCCGGCUAACUACGUG
rnacentral:rRNA from 1 species